GACGAACGCUGGCGGCGUGCUUAAUACAUGCAAGUCGAGCGAGGUCCAUCUGGUGGCAACACCAGUGAAGGCCGAGCGGCGAACGGGUGAGUAACACGUGAGCAACCUGCCCCGAAGUCUGGAAUAACAUCGGGAAACCGGUGCUAAUACCGGAUCGCCCCACCUGACCGCAUGAUCGGGUGAGGAAAGAUUUAUCGCUUCGGGAGGGGCUCGCGGCCUAUCAGCAGUUGGUGGGUAACGGCCUACCAAGGCAUCGACGGGUAGCUGGUCUGAGGAGGACGACCAGCCACACUGGGACUGAGACACGGCCCAGACUCCUACGGGAGGCAGCAGGUAGGGAAUCUUGCGCAAUGGGCGAAAGCCUGACGCAGCAACGCCGC
rnacentral:rRNA from 1 species